rnacentral:rRNA from 1 species
GAUGAACGCUGGCGGCGUGCCUAAUACAUGCAAGUCGAGCGAACGGACCAGAAGCUUGCUUCUCUGAUUUUAUCGGCGGACGGGUGAGUAACACGUGGAUAACCUACCUAUCAGACUGGGAUAACUUCGGGAAACCGUAUCUAAUACCGGAUGAUUUUUUGACCCUCAUGGUUCACAAGUUAAAUACGCUCUUGCUUUCACUUAUAGCUUGAUCCGCGCUGCAUUAGCUAGUUGUUAAGGUAACGGCUUACCAAGGCUACGAUGCAUAGCCGACCUGAGAGGGUGAGAGGCAACACUGGAACUGGGACACGGUCAGGAAUCCUACGAGAGGCAGAAGUAGGGAAUCUUCAGCAAUGGGAGAAAGCCUGAAGGAGGAACGCCGCGUGAGUGAUGAAGGUAUUCGGAUCGUAAAACUGUGUUAUGAGGGAAGAACAUAUGUGUAAGUAACUGGGCACAACAUGAAGGUAACUAAUCAGAAAGCCACGGCUAAAUACGUG